AUUGAACGCUGGCGGCAUGCUUUACACAUGCAAGUCGAACGGCAGCGCGGGCUUCGGCCUGGCGGCGAGUGGCGAACGGGUGAGUAAUACAUCGGAACGUGCCCAGUAGUGGGGGAUAGCUCGGCGAAAGCCGGAUUAAUACCGCAUACGACCUGAGGGUGAAAGCGGGGGAUCUUCGGACCUCGCGCUAUUGGAGCUGCCGAUGGCAGAUUAGCUAGUUGGUGGGGUAAAGGCCUACCAAGGCGACGAUCUGUAGCUGGUCUGAGAGGACGACCAGCCACACUGGGACUGAGACACGGCCCAGACUCCUACGGGAGGCAGCAGUGGGGAAUUUUGGACAAUGGGCGAAAGCCUGAUCCAGCAAUGCCGCGUGUGUGAUGAAGGCCUUCGGGUUGUAAAGCACUUUUGGCGGGAACGAAAAGGACUGUGCCAAUACCACGGUUCGAUGACGGUACCCGAAGAAUAAGCACCGGCUAACUACGUG
rnacentral:rRNA from 1 species